UAUGUGGCAUGGUGUGGAGGAGAGAGAGUGGGGCUACACCGCUCUCUUAUUUGGCUAGAAAUCUCUUUGUAAGGCAUCAAAAGUUGGCACCCUAACUACCUGAUAUGUAUUAGAUAGAUGCCUCUUGUACCUGCUUUAAGGGGUUGAUCAUAUACCAUUUAUAUCUGAUUUUAAUUGAAAUAAAUCAGAUUAAAAAGGUAGAAGAUUUUUAUGAGAUAAGGAUCUAUCUUUUUAAGAUAAUUGGUUCCUAUUAUGUGUCAGGGUAGCUACUAUAUAAAGGGUAUGUCUCUAGGAUUUC
rnacentral:lncRNA from 1 species